GAUGAACGCUGGCGGCGUGCCUAAUACAUGCAAGUCGAGCGAACGGACGAGAAGCUUGCUUCUCUGAUGUUAGCGGCGGACGGGUGAGUAACACGUGGAUAACCUACCUAUAAGACUGGGAUAACUUCGGGAAACCGUAGCUAAUACCGGAUAAUAUUUUGAACCGCAUGGUUCAAAAGUGAAAGACGGUCUUGCUGUCACUUAUAGAUGGAUCCGCGCUGCAUUAGCUAGUUGGUCAGGUAACGGCUUACCAAGGCAACGAUGCAUAGCCGACCUGAGAGGGUGAUCGGCCACACUGGAACUGAGACACGGUCCAGACUCCUACGGGAGGCAGCAGUAGGGAAUCUUCCGCAAUGGGCGAAAGCCUGACGGAGCAACGCCGCGUGAGUGAUGAAGGUCUUCGGAUCGUAAAACUCUGUUAUUAGGGAAGAACAUAUGUGUAAGUAACUGUGCACAUCUUGACGGUACCUUAUCAGAAAGCCACGGCUAACUACGUG
rnacentral:rRNA from 1 species